CCUACGGGAGACAGCAGUGAGGAAUCUUGGUCAAUGGUCGGGAGACUGAACCAGCCAAGCCGCGUGAGGGAUGAAGGUACAGAGUAUCGUAAACCUCUUUUGUCAGGGAACAAAGGCGGGGACGCGUCCCCGGAUGAGUGUACCUGAAGAAAAAGCAUCGGCUAACCCCGUGCCAGCAGCCGCGGUAAUACGGGGGAUGCGAGUGUUAUCCGGAUUUAGUGGGUUUAAAGGGUGGGCAGGCGGGCUGUUAAGCCGGCGGUCAAAGCCCGGGGCUCAACCCCGGCCCGCCGUUGAAACUGGCAGUCUCGAGUUGGAGAGAAGUAUGCGGAAUGCGCGGUGUAGCGGUGAAAUGCAUAGAUAUCGCGCAGAACUCCGAUUGCGAAGGCAGCAUGCCGGCUCCACACUGACGCUGAGGCACGAAAGCGUGGGUAUCGAACAGGAUUAGAUACCCGAGUAGUC
rnacentral:rRNA from 1 species